UGAAAUCUAACUAUGUCCCCCCCCUCCCCUUGGUAUCAUAUUAAGAAACCAUUUCCUAAUCUAAAAUCACAAAGAUUUACAUUUAAAAUUAUCCUUCAAGUUUCAUGCUUUAAGUCUUUUCCCUACCCAGACAGAGUCUCACUAUGUAGUUCUGGCUGCCCUAGAAUUCACUACAUAGACCAGGCUGGUCUCAAGCUCUUAGAGGUCCUCCCGCCUCUGCCUCCUGAGUGCUGGGAUUAAAGGGUGACUGGUGAAUUUCAAAAGACCCACCUUCACCAUCAGAAAUCCUUCUCUACUUAGUCUGUUAUUGAGGACUUCAACUGUGUUUUUGACUUACACACAAAAUCACAGAAGAACUUUGUGUGUGAGUAUGUGUAGGUGUGUUUGAGUGUGCAUAUAUGCUUGUAUGUUUGUCUGUGUAGGAGUGGGCAUGUGUAUGUGUGUGUGUGUACGAAUAUGUAUACAUGUGGAGGUCAGAACAGCUAUCAUUGCUUUAAUGCCUGGAGACUGGGUCUCUCACUGAACUGCUGCCACUUCAGCUUGGCUGUGGUGCAGACGCUAGGAAGCUCCUACCGGAACACUAUGCUUUUUGCCUGAUGCUAAGUCACUGUGUCCAUGAUGACGUCACUUACAAUGUGGCCUUGCUAAGAUGCUACUGUUCACCUUCUGCUACACUGGGAGGCCCCAUGGCCCAGAAGCCAAGGCCACAGUUGUUAGUAUGGUUUUCUUUGCUCUCUAGGCUGCCAUCUUAUAUUAAUUUCUAUGUAUCUGUGACCCUUCCUUUCUUUCCUUUCCUUCCUUCCCUCCGUUCCUUCCUUCCUUCCUUCCUUCUCUUCCUUCCUUUUUCUUUUUCCUUUUUUUCUUUCUUCUUCCUCCUUCUGUUCCUUCUUUCUUUCUUCUUCCUUCUUUUUCAUUUGGCCACUCGGGAGUUUGACCUCUCACUUUCCAAGCCAGGAAACUUUGAACUUUACUUCCCAGCAGGUCAGCUAUUUCCAGAGUGGCAGGGACUCUGCACCACACUGGCCUAGCAUGGCCCUAUCUUCUGAGGCAAGCCUGCCAGAAGCAUGAGUUGAUCUUCAGGAGCAAUGCCUUCCAGUGAGGCCACUUGGGCUUUGAUCUGGGUGACCGUCUCCUGGCCAGUAACCUUGAGGGUGUGACUUGGGCAUGUGCAAAGUGUUGCAUGUUAGCAACUAACCCACAGAUGGUACUGAUGCUGCCUCAAAGAUGGAGUCAAGAAAGAGCAGUCCAUGUUCUUAACCUCUCACUCUCAUUGAAUGCUUUUUCUUUUCUUCCCAACUAGUCCCCUUCCUGCUUUCAUUUUUUUUUUUUAACCCACUGAGUUCAGGAUUGCUUGUAUGAACAUGGGCAACCUAACAGUGACUAUGCCACUACAGAGAAUGUCACUACAAUAUUAACUGCCAAUAUUCCUCAGGGUGGGAUGGGAUUUUAGGAGCCCUUCUUCUAUCUGUGAUGGAAUGAAGUAGGCAUUGGGCAAGUGUCCAAAGCUGCUGUGUUCGUGAUUUCAAUGGCCACACCAUAUCCAGAAGACAAGGCUUCAUUACACACCUGCUUUAAGUUCCCUGUGUUUAUUUAUGGUAGAUGUUGAUUUUUUUUUCUUGUUUUGAUGCUUUGGACCUUAAUAUCAAGGCUUAAAAAUGAGUUAAGUGACCUCCUUAUUCCUGUGUGUUGGGGGCGUGGUACUGGGGAUUGAACCCAGGGCAUUAUGCAUAAUUAGUGAAGCAAUCUGCCAUUAAGCCAUGUGUCCAUGAGGCUAGUUCUUUUUUUCUUCAUUAAUUUACUUAUUUGCUUUACACACCGAUUACCAUUUCCCCUCCUUUCACUCCUCCCAGUCCUUUCAUCUCUCCUUCCUUUCUUCCUUUCUCCUCAGAGAAGGGGAGGCAUGGAUAGCAACCUGUCUUGGCAUAUCAAGAUGCAGCAGUAGGACUAGGUGCAUUCUCUCCCAUUCAGGCUGAACACAGCAGCCGUUAGGGGAAAGGGAUCCAAAGGCAGGCAGCAGAGUCAGAGACAGCCCCUGUUCCAGUUGUUAGGGGUCCCACAUAAAGAACAAGCUGCACAUCUGCUAUAUAUAUAUAGGGGCCUGUGUCCAUCCCGUGCAUGCUCUCUGAUUGGUGAUUUAGUCUCUGUUAGCCACUACAGACCCAGAUUAGUUGAUUCUGUGGGUUUUCUUAUGGUGUCCCUGACUUCUCUGGCUCCUUCAGUCCUUCCCCCUCUCUUCCACAAGGUUCCCUAAGCUCCUCCUAAUGUUUGUCUGUGGGUCUCUGCAUCUGUUCCCAAUAGUUGCUGGGUGAAGCCUCUCAGAGGACAGUUGUGUUAGGCUCAUGUCUGCAGGUAUAGCAGAAUAUGACUAAUAGUGUCGGGGUAGGCCCUCUCUCAAAGAAUGUGUAUAAAGCUAGUUCAUGAAGGUUUGGAGGGAGCCAUCAGGGAAUUAAUUUGAUCCUUGCCUACCCUUGUUAGAAAUUUCUCUUUGACAUUUAUUUCUGAAAAGUCCACACUUUUUAUUUCCUCAUAUCUCUGCUUUCAUUUCUGAUUUUGGUAUACCUGAAUUUUCUCUCUUGUUAAACAUUUGUCUAUUUGAUCUCUUUAGGGAAGCUUUUUUAGUAGUAGAUAGCCUAGAUCUCACUCAUAUUCGAAUUUUUCUUUUAUUUUCAAUUUGUUAAACAGGUCAUGUAUGUUUGUGCACACUUUUUCAGGGUAUCAUGUGUACUGACAGUAUACAAAGCCCCUGUGAACAGGGGUGUCUUCAGAUUCCUUUGUUGCCAUUUAUUAUCUGUAUGCCCAUCAGUGUAAGUCAGUAAUACUAAUUCUAGUACUUGUUGGUCUGUUUACAUGUAAUGAUAUAAUUUUGGAGAACCUUAGGAUUUUUUCUUUAAAGCCAGGCAUAGUGGUACAUGCCAUUAACCUCAGUCUGCUGGAGCAUGCAAUGCUGUCUCAACAGCAUUUUACAACAGCUUCCUUCAAAACUGUAGUCAAGGCUCUCGUUCCUUGCUGCUGCUCUGUGUCUUCAACAACAGGGUUUAUCAGGAAACCCGAAGGAGCAAUUCCUCAGCUUUAAAGUGUGACCGGACUCUUCAGCAUCAUCUGCUUCUCUUCAGCUCCCCUGCUAGACCUGUGGUGACACCCUCUGCUCAUGUCUUGAGGCUCUCAGGUACUGCUAUAUCUGACUGCUGUAACCCACAUCCUUAAUGACAUCCAGAACAGCAAAUUCUUCCAGCUGACAUCAUACUCCAGAUGCAUCAGAGAAACCAGUAAGACGUGGGAAUCAAAACAGUACUUGACCCUGGCCCACAGGAGGAUCUAUCAGCAGGCACAUGGAAUGAACCAAAGGACAACACGGCUGUUGCAUGCCUUCCCUGAAGCCCUUGUAUGAGCGGGUGCACUGUCAGUGGGCAUUAACAUUGAUUGAAAGUGCUCAUUUUUUCUGAGUGGUAGGUCUGCAUGGUGAGCUUAAACUACCUUGCUGUAAACAAAUGUGCUGUCUAGGCCUCAUUCCUUUUACUCAUUACAAAGAGGCCCUCGAGUUUUUAGGUUAACUGAGCAAUGGGUUAAACCUAAGUCACUAGCCAGGUUUUUUUUAAAACUAGAGUUAGUCUGUCUUUUGAGGGCACUGCUGACUUUUCUUCUGCUAUGAAACACCAAGGCUAUAUCUUUUUCUUUAUAUGAAUGUUUUGCAUGUAUCUGUGUACUGGAUGUCCACGGGGGCAAGAAGAGGCUGUCAGAUGCCCUGAGAUUUAGAAUCACAGCCAGUUGUGGAUGCUGCGAAUUGAACCCCACAACUCUGGAAGAGCAGCCAGUGCUCUUGACUGGAGGCAUCUCUCCAGUCCUUAAGGCUCUUUCGUGUACAUAAAGGCAUGCUUAGCUGGGCAUGGUAGUGAAUGUCUAUCCCAGAAAUGGGGAGGUGGGAGGUAGGAAGGUUAGCACUUUAGGGCCAUCCUUGGCUACAUGAAACCUCAUCUCAAACAGAUGUGCUGUGUGAUUUGCCCUCCUGACUAUUCACAAUAGAUCUCUGCGCUGUGCACAGCAGGCCUUCUGUCUCACCUCAUGCUCUCUGGAGUUGGCCAUUUUUGUAUAACGUCACAAAAACUGUACUAGCGUCUGUAGCUUCCUCCUUGGAAUUACGGGAGUUAGGGCCUAGUCUAUACUGGGCUUUGACUUGGUAUGGCUGGUUUGAGGCUCUUGUGUUUGCCUCCCAUUUCUGUGUUCAACCGAAUUAGCACUUCUAACAUCCAAGCAUCUUUCCUGUGCACUUAAAGCAUAAGUGUUUGGAAUGAACCUUCUCACCAAAUGUAAAUAUUUCUACCUACCUGAUGGUUUAAAGCGUGAGACAUGCGACUCUUCCUUUCGCUUGAACUAAAGGCCACUACGGACUAUCUUAAAGUCCAUACUAUUUGCAGGGGACAGUGAGGCCCAGGGAGACUCUCACAGAGAUGGGGACUAGCUGGUCUGUUGGUGGGGCCACCCGAACAGACUGAUCACCUAAGUGUUAGCUAAGUGAACAUGGUUUGUGGUACCUAAAACAACUACAAUAGCAAUACUAAAGAUGACAGAUAGCAUCACAGACAACAAGUGCAGUCUGAAAUUGUGGUGGUUUGAAUGAGAAAUUCUCCCAAAGGCUCAUGUUUGAAUACUUGACUUCCAGUUGGCAGAACCGUGAGGGAAAGAUUAGAUAUGGACUUGUAGGUGUGUCUCUUUGGGUGGGCUUUUAGCUUUCAAAAGACUUGUGCCCUUCCCAGUAUUUCUUUACUGCCUAAAGAAAAUCAUGUGAAUUAACUUUUAUAUUUCUAUAAACUGCUACAGUGCAAAGCUGAACACAGUUAUGGGGAACACAGUGGGGAAAUGGAGACAAGGCUGCAUCUAAGGUGACUAUACUCAUUAGAUCCACACUCCUAUACUCUUUCACUGUUUUCCCUACAUGCUGCUGAAUGCAGAGCUGGGAAGGUCUGCGCUAUGGUUGUCAGAGAAGUAGCUCCUGUGGACAGAGAAGUCUUAAGUGUUUUUAUUUUUCCCCCCAGUAGCUCAUGGCUAUGAGACUUCCUGGACUGCCCUUCUUACUGCCACCACCAGUCUCGACUUGCUUUGGCAAAAGAACUCCAAUUUUAUCCUGAAGAAAUAUAUGCUGAACCCAGGAUGACUUCUUUUUCUUACAGUUGGGUUCCUAAAGAUUCUGAAAGGUGGGCCUUUCAUCUUGUACAGAUAAGAGCCCAAUGAAGUUGAUAUGCUGGAUAUGGAAAACGCUGACAAGGUAAGGCCAUAAUUUUGCUUGGGUCAGGAUGGCCUAGAACGCUUCUACCUGCCCUGCCCUUAUGUGCUAGGCUUAAAGGCUUAGCCUGGCCAGGGUUUUGCACUCUAUACUCUUUAAGUAACAUUUACAUACAUGUUACUGAUGUGUCUUUUAAGUCUUAGCUUGUGUGUUUUUUGAAGCAGUGUUUUUCUGUGUAGAGCUGGCUGUCCUGGAACUCAGAGAUCUGCCUGUCUCUGCCUCCCGAGUGCUGGGAUUAAAGGCAUGAGCCUGGCUUUAAGUCUUAUCUUAAAAUGCAAUAAAAAUAACUGAACUUCCUCAUUCAUUGCUGAACUCUCAUCAAAAUUUGAACCAUGGCUUCUUUAAGUCUAUGUUUCUGAUAAUUUCUCAAUCAACGAGUAAAUCUGCAGACCUUGUAGCUUCUUUAAACUACCCAUAGUCAAUAGCAAUUUGGUAUAUUCUUCCCAAAUUAAAAACCUAUAGGAAUGCAGUUCAUUUGGUAGAAUGCUUGCUUAGCAUGCACAAGGCCCUGGGUUUUCAUCCCAGCACUGCAUAAAGCAGGAGUGGCGGCAUGACUGUAAUCUCAACACCCAGGAUCUGCAGGCAGGAGCUAUCUUAACAUAGCUUGCUUGUUUGUUUAGAUGUGGUCUUAAUAUAUACAUAAGCUAGGCUGACCUGAAAUCUGUCUUUUCAUGUCAGGCUCCUGAGCAGCGCUGGGAUUAUGGGUCUAUGCUACCAUGCCCAACAGGAUACUUUGCUAAAAAUGGUAAUACUAUUUUGUUUAUUUGAGACUGUUUUCUCUGUUUAUAUCCCUUGCUCUUCUCGAACUCACUCUGUAGACCGGCUGGCGUCAACAUAGGUUUGCCUCUGCCUCCUCAGUGCUAGAAUUAAAGCCACUGCCUGGUGGUAACACACUGAGUAAGAUCCUGCUUUCUUUAACUCUAUACUCAUAAGCUGGGAAGGAGAAUCCCCUGAGUUCACAGCUAGCUUGGGCUACAGAGUAAGCUACUGCCUCAGAAGACAGACUAUAUUUGCCUGGCUUCUAGGGUCCCAGCUUUACAGUGACACCAUUUGCAAGAAUGAUUACGUAAGGGUCACUUUUCUGUUACACCAACAUAAACAAUAAAAUGCAAUUAAAAUUCA